UCAAUAACCCCGCAAGACACAAGUGCCUACAUAAGAGUUGAUGGUGAUGGUGUACUGCAUCUGGUGCAGCCUCCUGUUGAGCCAGACCAACAUGCAGUUGAAAAUAAUGAAGAAACAUUGACAGCUGUUACAGAGGAGGAAGCAACAGAGACACUUUAUGAGAGUGAUGAUGGAAAUGCAGAGGAAGAGGGUCCAGCCACUUCU